CACGUAGGGCGCAAGCGUUGUCCGGAAUUAUUGGGCGUAAAGAGCUCGUAGGCGGUCUGUUGCGUCCGCUGUGAAAACUCGGGGCUUAACCCCGAGCCUGCAGUGGAUACGGGCAGACUAGAGGUAGGUAGGGGAGAAUGGAAUUCCCGGUGUAGCGGUGAAAUGCGCAGAUAUCGGGAGGAACACCGGUGGCGAAGGCGGCAUCCUGGACCGACACUGACGCUGAGGAGCGAAAGCCAGGGGAGCAAAUGGG
rnacentral:rRNA from 1 species